UCGGGAAUUUUGGACAAUGGGCGAAAGCCUGAUCCAGCCAUGCCGCGUGUGUGAAGAAGGUCUUCGGAUUGUAAAGCACUUUAAGUUGGGAGGAAGGGUUGUAGAUUAAUACUCUGCAAUUUUGACGUUACCGACAGAAUAAGCACCGGCUAACUCUGUGCCAGCAGCCGCGGUAAUACAGAGGGUGCAAGCGUUAAUCGGAAUUACUGGGCGUAAAGCGCGCGUAGGUGGUUUGUUAAGUUGGAUGUGAAAUCCCCGGGCUCAACCUGGGAACUGCAUUCAAAACUGACUGACUAGAGUAUGGUAGAGGGUGGUGGAAUUUCCUGUGUAGCGGUGAAAUGCGUAGAUAUAGGAAGGAACACCAGUGGCGAAGGCGACCACCUGGACUAAUACUGACACUGAGGUGCGAAAGCGUGGGGAGCAAACAGGAUUAGAUACCCCAGUAGUCCCUGAGCGGGCUGGCAAGGCGCAU
rnacentral:rRNA from 1 species